AUCUGUUCCUCGGCCUAUUGGCUAAGAUCAAAGUGUAGUAUCUGUUCUUAUCUGUUUACUCCAAGUUUACUCCAAGUCAGGUCGGGGAGCAGCACGUGCCAUAUUCGUUUAUUUAUUUCGUUGAUUUCGUUGAUUUCGUUUAGCACUAUGUGACGUUUUACAGCACCGAUUCCGUUUUAGUUGGACCUUUU